rnacentral:misc_RNA from 1 species
UGGUUCUGGCAUCGAUGAAGAACGCAGCGAAAUGCGAUAAGUAAUGUGAAUUGCAGAAUUCAGUGAAUCAUCGAAUCUUUGAACGCACAUUGCGCCCGCCGGUAUCCCGGCGGGCAUGCCUGUUCGAGCGUCAUUUCUACCCUCAGGCACGGCCUGGUGUUGGGGACCUGCGCACCGCAGCCCCCGAAAGUCAGCGGCGGCACACGUCCCGGCUCCGAGCGUAGUAACACACGCCGCUCCGGGCGCCGGGCGGGUUCCUGCCGGAAAACCCCCAUCUCUUGAAAUGUUGACCUCGGAUCAGGUAGGAAUACCCGCUGA